rnacentral:rRNA from 1 species
CGUGUAGGCGGUCUUUUAAGUCUGAUGUGAAAGCCCUGGGCUCAACCUGGGAAGUGCAUUGGAAACUGGAAGACUUGAGUACGGGAGAGGGUAGUGGAAUUCCCAGUGUAGGAGUGAAAUCCGUAGAUAUUGGGAGGAACACCGGUGGCGAAGGCGGCUACCUGGACCGAUACUGACGCUGAGACGCGAAAGCGUGGGGAGCAAACAGGAUUAGAUACCCUGGUAGUCCACGACCGUAAACGAUGAGUACUAGGUGUCGCGGGUAUUGACCCCUGCCGGUGCCGCAGCUAACGCAUUAAGUACUCCGCCUGGGAAGUACGGUCGCAAGACUAAA